rnacentral:rRNA from 1 species
GAUCAAAUCAAGCGCGAUAAGGGCGUUUGGUGGAUGCCUUGGCAGCAAGAGGCGAUGAAGGACGUGAUACUCUGCGAUAAGCCAUGGGGAGCUGAGAAUAAGCUUUGAUCCAUGGAUCUCCGAAUGGGGAAACCCACCUGAAACUCGAUUGUUGUUACCCUUGGGUAUCAACAAUUGGGUUAACCAGGUACUUAUCACCUGAAUACAUAGGGUUUUAAGAGCGAACCCGGGGAACUGAAACAUCUAAGUACCCGGAGGAAAGGAAAUCAACAGAUACUCCCCCAGUAGUGGCGAGCGAACGGGGACCAGCCGAGCCGUGAGAAUGACCAGAAUGGCCUGGAAAGGCCAGCCAUAGCGGGUGACAGCCCCGUAUGGGAAGUUUGAUCGGACGCAUUAAGUAGGGCGGGACACGUGAAAUCCUGUCU